CACCACCAUUCCACUUAUUCCAAUGUUUUUUUUUUUUUUCAUACUUCUCGAUCAUACCUCAUUGAUCAUUUGAUCAUCAUCGUAAUCAUAAUCGGUUACAAUUAACCUUGAAAAUGUGAUAUCGGAUAUUUGCGAUGAUGAAUUUCUUAUGAGUUAUGGGAAGAGUGAAAAAGUGGAAGGGAGAGGGGUGGAGGGGCUGUUGGCGGGGGGAGGGACGGAGAGGAAGAGGAAAAAAAGAAGGAAAGGAAAGGAAGAUCGUUACCGUGAAUAUUUGAGGAUUUUAAUUCACCUGUCUGUCUGCCUACCUGUCUGUCUGUCUGUCUGUCUGUUUGUUUGUACUGUGUUUAAUCAUUCGAUUGAAUUAUUUUUUUAAAGGAUAGUUUUAUCGAUGGGAUGUAAGAACGGGAAUGUACUUUCGUUAAGAUUUCAAGAUUAGGAUGGGGUGUUGGGUUAUAUAUGGCGGGCCUGUGUUAGGGUACGGGGGAUGCUCUUACGUGAUAGAAUUCUUUUCGGUUCAUCGAAGUGAACACACUGUGAGAGAUUUGUACGUAUUUUAAUUUGUUUUUAAUUAUAAUUGAAUACAACAAUUGAAUAAACAAUGUUGGAGUAAAACAAUGUUGAAUAAAAAACAUGUAUUCUAUACAUGUAAAUGUGAUAUGUAUUUUGAUAUUAUUAUGUAUAAUCACCAACAAAUGUGCACAAACAAAUGUGCACAAACAAAUGUGCACAGUAUUAUUCUAUUACACUACUACUAUCAUCCCAAGUGUAUUUUUGUUGUUGUUUUUAGUUCAGACACGUGUGUGGUUAUUUAUCAAACUACAUGGUGUCAAUUUUACAAACAAAAUACUACAAAAAAUGAUAGGAAAUUAUUGAAAGGAAAAACAAAAUCGUAUAUAUUGAAUGAAAAAUAUUAUAUAUAUAUUUUUUAUUUUUUCUUUCUUGUCCUUUUUAUCACCCUUUUUUUCAGACCUUGUAAUAAUCGAUUUCCCUAGGCUAUAACGAAAAUAAAUAUCGUAAUCGAAGCGUUUAAUGUACACAA
rnacentral:lncRNA from 1 species